rnacentral:rRNA from 1 species
GAGUUUGAUCUUGGCUCAGAUUGAACGCUGGCGGCAUGCCUUACACAUGCAAGUCGAACGGCAGCGCGGAAUGGGGUAACCCGGCCUGGCGGCGAGUGGCGAACGGGUGAGUAAUAUAUCGGAACGUACCCUGGAGUGGGGGAUAACGUAGCGAAAGUUACGCUAAUACCGCAUACGAUCUAAGGAUGAAAGCAGGGGACCGCAAGGCCUUGUGCUCCUGGAGCGGCCGAUAUCUGAUUAGCUAGUUGGUAGGGUAAAAGCCUACCAAGGCAUCGAUCAGUAGCUGGUCUGAGAGGACGACCAGCCACACUGGAACUGAGACACGGUCCAGACUCCUACGGGAGGCAGCAGUGGGGAAUUUUGGACAAUGGGCGCAAGCCUGAUCCAGCAAUGCCGCGUGAGUGAAGAAGGCC